GCCCCUGUAGCUCAACGGAUAGAGCACCGGACUUCUAAUCCGGUUGUUGUGGGUUCGAAUCCUACCAGGGGCG
rnacentral:tRNA from 1 species